rnacentral:lncRNA from 1 species
ACACGCGUGUUUCCCCGUAGAGAGGAAACUGCUCAAGCAUAGUACGUGGUCUUGUUAACGCGUGUUAGGUCAUGGCAGCCAGUGAAGUAGUAUUUGUUCUCUUUCUCUGGACUUUGAACACUUUCCGGCCAGUCUCCUAUCCCACAGCUUCUAAGCCUGUGUGGAAAACACAACCUUUCUCAGGAUUCUAUUUAUUCUAGAAGCGUCCCACUUGCUCUCUUUCUUGCCCAUGGUUUCCUGUCUCCUUUGCUAGCUUCUCAUUCCCUGUCGCACACUGUUUUCACACUGCACCUGAGGCUUCGUUCCAUUUCUUACUUUUUUUUUUUUUGAUACAGUAUCUGUAUAUAGAUACCUGGCUGUUUUGGGACUUAAACUCACAGAGAACGACCUGUUUCUGCCUUCCAAGUGCUGGAAUAAAAUGUGUGUACCAUAUGACCAGAAUCUUAACUAUUUAGAAAAAAAAUAUUCUUUCUGUUGUAUGUGUUUGUGUGUGUGGUGCCUUCAGAAGGUGUCGAGGCCCCUGGAGUUGUACUGACGUGGGUUCUGGGUACUGAACUUGGGUCACUUGGCAGGAAGUGUUCUUAACUGCUGAGCCACCUCCCCAGCCCCAUUUACAUUUUUUAAAUCAUAGAACUCAUGCUCCUUGAGGAAUAAUAAUCUUCCUUAACUGUCACCCAGAGAGAGCUGGUGUCAUACCGUUAGUGUUUCCAAAAGUCAUUUAUGAAUGUGUGGCUGUGUGUUGGUUUUCCUUGAGUUUUGCUGGAGACAUGGUAGUUAUCAAGUGUGUUCGGGGCUUGAGUCUCUGACAGAGUCUGCCUCUCUUCCUCUUCUUUUCAGGAUGCCCCUUUUCUGGCACCAGGAAGGCACUGUCAGUUCUGCUUCUCAGGAUUGUUUUGCGCCUGCCUUCUUGCUGCUGUGCCCGUGUUGUACAUUAGAUGCUCACGUGCUUAGAGGCUUGGCCGCAGCGGCUCCUGCCUCCUCACUCGUGUGUCCUCCUUGUAGCUGACCCUUUCAUCUCCAGCGCCUUAGGCACUGCUUGCCCCUCUAGCCUGGCAGCUGCAUUGCUUUUCCUGGAGGUGGAUCGUCAGUUGGAUAGCUCCUUGCCCAGCGACAGGUACUUCAAACCCAACACGUCUUGAAUGGAACACAGCUGUGAGUGUUGCCUUUUCUGUUACUCAGAAAGAGCCCACGCGUGUUUGUGCUUUGUUGUUGUUUUGUUUAUUUUCCCACAUACAUCUUGUUGUCCCCUUUCAUUAACAAAUGAUAAAAUCCUGGGAGCUCUUCUUCAUCUGGAAUGGGUGCCUCCUCUCUGGUGCCCCCAUCAUCCUUUCCCCAGGGUUCCUGGAGAAGUGGCCAUGUCAUUUCUGUUUCCAGAGCCACGGCCCGACAGCUGCUCUCACAGGUGUUUUGGAAACUGGAGUGGUCUCACGCCUUCUGUCUUUCCAUGUAAGCUGUUAUCCCUGCCAUAGCUAAAAUGAUCAUGUGAACAUGUGGAGACUGACGUUGGAGACCUGGCCAGGGUCUAGGACCCUGCUUGUCUUAGCAAGCCUGCGGACGACAGAGGUGCUGUUGGGCUGGUCAUGAGGGCUUUACUGGACCAAGAUGUCCAGCUCUCUGCUUUUGAAUGUGGUGUUCAUUCUCCUGUGCUGAGAAUUCGCUCCCACUGCAGACCUUUUCCAGCCGCCUCUGCCAUCUGUCCCUUAAGUCCUGGUACACACAUAACCACCAGAUGCUGUUACGUGUGACACUGUAGACCUGUUGUUAGGCCUUAAAGGACUUCUCUUACUAUGUUACCUCCCUUGAGGUCUAAUUGUGUUCAUGGAGUAGGUGUCAAACAUUCAACAAACAAGUAGAUAUUGAGAGGGGUAGCAUGAGAUGAAGAUUGAAAAGAGCACUUAGCCCCUCUGUGCUGCAGCGUGAUGCUGUGGUGUGUGGUCCUGGGGUGUGGUGCUGCUGCACUGUGGCCCUGCGGUGCGUGGUCCUGGGGUGUGCUGGUCCUGGGGUGUGUUGUCCUGGGGUAUGGUGCUGCUGCACUGUGGUCCUGGGGUGUGCUGGUCCUGGGGUGUGCUGGUCCUGGGGUGUGCUGGUCCUGGGGUGUGCUGGUCCUGGGGUAUGCUGGUCCUGGGGUGUGCUGGUCCUGGGGUGUGCUGGUGCUGCGCCAUGGUGCUGCGUGUUCACCCUGGUUUUGUUUUCCAGCUCUGCUGUUCUGAGUUGGACACAUAGGCAUUAUUGAGUGAAGUUGUUAGAAUUGCUCGAUCGGUUUUCACAGUCAAAGCACCCAGGAAUAUGCACCUCUGUAUAUUUCUUGCUCUCCAGUUUCCCUUUUAGUAUUUUUUUUCUUCUCUCCUUUUUAAAAGCCAAUUCUUCCAAUUUUUACCUUCUCCGUGAAGAGGGUCAGGAGGGCUUUGCUCUCUCCUGCUGUUUCUCCCCUUGGCUACUCCUAUUUCUCCUGAGAUUUUUAGAGUCAUCUUCAUGUCCACCUUCCAGAGGAAAGCUAAACCUGUAAUCUUGAAGCUAAGUCUGUAUGGAGGUGCACCUAGCUAGAUGCUUGUGGCCCAGAGGUGAACAUGAUGCUGCCAUUGGAAGAGAAGAAAACGUUCUAUUUUUACCAAACAUUUUGGAAAGCUUUCAAUAGUUUUUAAGAGUCUGAGGCUUCGGGCUUGUAAAUCCCGGGACUAAGCCUCUGCUCUCUGUACACAGGCUCGUGAGGCUAUGGCAGGCAGUCCCAUUUAUGGCGUUACAACCUCAUAAGAAGAACUCAAUACUUGGUUGGUAAUUCCAAAAAGGGGGCAGUCACAUUUGUUUUUGGGAAGGAGACCGUCCAUCUGCCAUUUGUCCUUUAGUCCGACUGAGCGUGUGUGAGUUCUCAUAUGUGUAUGGGCGCGUGUGCCACAGAGGACAGCUUUCAGCUUUCUCCUUCCCCCGUGUGGAUCUGGGAGAGACCUCAAGAACCAGACUAAGGCAAGUGCCUCUAGCCACUGAGCCACCCAUCUCCCAGGCCCCAGAGGGAGCCAGACAUGCACUGUGCGUUCAGAGUGUUUAUAGGGUAAACCGAAGACCUUGGACUUAGAAGCCACACUUUGAUUUUGAGUGGGGUGCUGAAAAAGCCAGUUGAUUGCCGUGUUAGCUCCUUGAUUGAUGUGGUGGGUCCUGACCCAGAGGAGAGUUUGACAAAAUGUAAGUCGACUAUGAGAAAGACAGCAUGGCCUGUCAGAAACAGUGUUGGUGCUGCCGAUUGGUGGCCUCACUGAGUAAUGCAGGACCAAAGAGCUUCCUUCCCUGGAGAGAGAACAGCAGAUUGGUUAGGGUGUAGAGGGAAGAGUACAUUUGGAGAUCAGGACAAGCAGGAGUCCCAUUAAUACAAACCUGCAUCCAGACCUGCCUCUUUCAUGCCCAGUACCUUAGCAAGUGUUUUGACUACGUUUGCUAAGCUUAUUUGCUAGGCCCAUUAGGGACACUUUCUUAGUGUUGCCCAAACCUAGGGCACUGUGUUCUGCCUGCAGAUUUUUACUUGUUGGGCCCAUUCUGAGUACUUACUAUUUAUAUAUUUAAUAUCUUGUUUACAUUGGUUUUAGGUUUAAAUUGACAUUUAAUAAAUUGGUUUUAUUUUAUGUAAAUGGGUGUAUUUGUUCACCAUGUGCAUGUAGUACCCAUGGAGACCAGAAGAGAGCAUCGGAUUCCCUUAGAACUGGAGUUACAGAUGGUUGGCUAUGGGUUACCUAUGGGUGCUGGGAAUUGAACUUCAUCUGGAAGAGCACCCAGUGCUGUUAACCAUUAAGCCGUCUCUGAAGCCCUUAAACUAAUAUUUUUAUAACUUUAUUUGUCUUAAGC